GUUCCCACACAUAAUUUUGAAGUUUGGAAAACUGCUUUGAAUAACAAGCUAGCAACGGCCAUCAUGUGUAUGAAACUUCGACAACGUUUGAGUUGGAAAUUGUAUUCGCUUCUUGAGGUAUAUAAAUGUACGGAAUUAGGAGGAGCGUCGAUGAUUUAGCGGAAGAAGUUUAGUUCCCAGUACAAUUACGACGAAGAACCGGAGCGGGCGAACCAGUCAGCGAAGGGGCAUUUUGGAUCAGUUCCGUGGCUAGCAACUGGCUGGAUAAUCGUGCGCUGCCGUCUGAAAACAAUUUUUUACCCCAACAAAAGAACCGCAACCUGGACAAGAAGCACGGCGUCGGAGAAGUUAAACCCGCUCGAGAUGAUUGCCAGCGGCAGCAGAAGGAUUCGGACGAUGAGAAGCUUCCAAACCUCUUGGACAAAAUCGUGCCCCAAAGCAUCCCGACCAAAGAUUGUGACCGAGACCGCGACAGUUCCAGCAACAUUCACGAAUCGUCCCACAAUAGGGGGAACCAAAUAUGCCAUUUUCAAUUGCAGCAAUAGUGCUUCCGCCCCCCUGCCGAAAAUUUCGCCACAACUGGACCUCUUCCGUCAAAUUUCCGAAAAAGAAUUAUUAUGCUUUAUAAUCGGGCUUAAAAAUGAAAUACUUAUGUAAUAAAAUUAAUACAACAGUAAAAAAAUAAAUGAUAACAAAAGCGAAUAUUUAAUAUAAUUAAUAACAAUAUUAAAUAUUAUAAAUUCGAAACAUAAUUUUAAAGUGAUCCGAGCGCAUAAAAAUGAUAUGGAUUACGUAAAUAUAUAUCAUAAGGAUCACACAUAAAUAUUAUGGAUGUGAGUAAUAAAUGUCAUUUGGCUCUCAAUAUGGA